AUCCAGCGGAUGAGUCCUAAAUAGAACGAAACGCGCUUCCUGGAU
rnacentral:hammerhead_ribozyme from 1 species